UGGGGAAUAUUGGACAAUGGGCGCAAGCCUGAUCCAGCCAUGCCGCGUGAGUGAUGAAGGCCCUAGGGUUGUAAAGCUCUUUCACCGGUGAAGAUAAUGACGGUAACCGGAGAAGAAGCCCCGGCUAACUUCGUGCCAGCAGCCGCGGUAAUACGAAGGGGGCUAGCGUUGUUCGGAUUUACUGGGCGUAAAGCGCACGUAGGCGGACUUUUAAGUCAGGGGUGAAAUCCCGGGGCUCAACCCCGGAACUGCCUUUGAUACUGGAAGUCUUGAGUAUGGUAGAGGUGAGUGGAAUUCCGAGUGUAGAAGUGAAAUUCGUAGAUAUUCGGAGGAACACCAGUGGCGAAGGCGGCUCACUGGACCAUUACUGUCGCUGAGGUGCGAAAGCGUGGGGAGCAAACAGG
rnacentral:rRNA from 1 species